AGCGAACGCUGGCGGCAGGCCUAACACAUGCAAGUCGAGCGCCCGUAGCAAUACGGGAGCGGCAGACGGGAGAGUAACACGUGGGAACGUACCCUUUGGUUCGGAACAACACAGGGAAACUUGUGCUAAUACCGGAUAAGCCCUUACGGGGAAAGAUUUAUCGCCAAAGGAUCGGCCCGCGUCUGAUUAGCUAGUUGGUGGGGUAACGGCGCACCAAGGCGACGACGGGUAGCUGGUCUGAGAGGAUGGCCAGCCACAUUGGGACUGAGAGACGGCCCAGACUCCUACGGGAGGCAGCAGUGGGGAAUCUUGCGCAAUGGCCAAAAGGCUGACGCAGCGACGCCGCGUGGA
rnacentral:rRNA from 1 species